GUGGAAUCUCCGAUAUGUGACCGAAGUUUUCAGAGUUCAUCCGCAAAGCAAAUAGCAUGGUCUUACUGUCAAUCAGCUGGGUUUGUUGACAAACAAAAAUCAAACAAAUUGAAAAUUUAAAAGCUACAAAAUGUGGAAGACCAAGGACGCAAGCUUUACCUUUGCAGUAGGUAUGGCGAUGUGCAUUGCCGCAGGAGAGCAGGAGGAGGCGGAAAAAAGGACACAGAGGCGGAAAUAUUGGGUGAGCCCGUAUCUCAAGGAACGCUCGUUUAAAGGCCGCUAUGCUUCAGACUUUCAGAACUUGGUUAACACCCCAUCCAUGUUCUUCGAGAACUUCCACAUGCCGGAAAGCAGCUUCAACGCACUCUUUGGAUUGGUGGAACAAUAACUUAUCCCCAAAAGGAACACCCGGCCAGAUGCCAUACCGCUAAAAGCGAAGUUGGCCAUCGUUUUGGAAUUUCUUGCUUCUGGAGAUCUGCAACGCCAUGUUGGAUCCACUUAUCGGAUCAGCAAGCAACAUUUCGGUGUCAUCCUCGACCAGGUUUGCACAGCAAUUUGGACUGCGUUGCAAGGGGAAUUUCCGAAGUGGACCACCGAUAACUUGCUGAGGUGGGCGAAAGACUUUAAAGACGAAUGAAACUUUCCAAACUGUCUUGGUGCCGUCGACGGGAAGCAUGUGGCGAUAAAGGCCCCCACUAAUAGCGGAAGCCUUUUUUACAAUUAUAAGGGAUUUCAUUCGAUUGUGCUUAUGGCAAUCUGCGACGCUCACUACCGAUUCACUUACAUAGAAGCCGGGGCGCUCGGAAGCGAGGGAGACAUGAACGCUUUUUCGCACAGUACUCUUGGAAAACGCCUACUUCUGGAUGAGCUGCCGUUUUCGGAGGACAAAGUGAUAAACGGGCACCGAACUCCCUACUUCAUAAUCGGCGAUGAUGCGUUUCCCCUUCAUAAGCGCAUUAUGAAGCCAUACAGUGGCAAGGACCUGCAUCGAAAGGAGCGCAUUUUCAACUAUAGGCUGAGUCGUGCUCGCCGUUGCAUUGAGAUUGCAUUUGGAAUUCUUAGUGCACGGUGGAUGGCUGUGCUUUGUGCUUUGCUGAGUAACCCAAGCAAGUCUCAGAAAGUUAUAGCAGCCUGUUGUGCACUGCAUAAUUUUUUGAUGCGGAAAAAUCCUACAACUUACACGUUGCACGAAGUACCGAGCAACGUGCUUGUCGACCUGGAAGCCUGCCGACGAGGUCGCCCCCAAGAUUUCAGCAAGGAAGUUCGAAGCAACUUGAUGGAAUAUCUAAACGGUAGUGCUGGGUAUUCUCAAGUACCUUGGCAAGACGAGUCUGCUGGUGUAUGA